AUACGGAGGGUGCAAGCGUUGUUCGGAAUUAUUGGGCGUAAAGAGCAUGUAGGCGGACUAUUAAGUCUGGUGUGAAAGCCCGGGGCUCAACCCCGGAAGUGCAUUGGAUACUGGUAGUCUUGAGUAUGGGAGAGGAAAGUGGAAUUCCGAGUGUAGGAGUGAAAUCCGUAGAUAGUCGGAGGAACACCAGUGGCGAAGGCGGCUUUCUGGACCAAUACUGACGCUGAGAUGCGAAAGCGUGGGGAGCGAACAGGAUUAGAAACCCUAGUAGUCC
rnacentral:rRNA from 1 species